CAUACUGAUAUUGGUCAGUCUAAUUCCAUUUUAAGAAGCGCAACUACCUUCCUUUACCUUUCUCUUUCAAAAAAGUGUUUAUCAAUGGUCAGGAAAAUGCAGAGGAGGAGGAUAUGGAUAACAAUGAUGAUCUUGCUGGAGAUGCCAUUGAAAGUGAUGACAAGGAAGAACAGGUACCAGCAGAACGGCCUCCCAAAACAUCAAAAUUUAUAGCUUCAUCAUGUACUCAUCAAGUGUGCUUAAUAUCUGGAUGAAGAUUCAUAGUUGAAGGCUACAGAAUUUGGCCUGUCAGAUUUUGUGAAACCAGAUGAAAAGUUUAUCAAAAUUGCUGGUAGUACAUACUGUGUAGCCCCCAAAGUGUUACAUAUGGCUUAUGGUACAGAGGCUGAUGUCUGGAGCGUAGGUGUGAUUGCACACAUUCUAUUGUGUGGCAGCUGUCCAUUUUGGCCUUGAACGAAGUUUGGCAUUUUUCGGGCAGUUCUAAAAGUUGAUCCAAGUUUCAAUGAACCUUGGCCACAUUCUCUACAGAGGCAAAAGUAAUUUGGUCAAGCGCCUAUUGAAUCAAGACCCACGGAAAAGAAUUACCACUGCACAAACAUGAAGUGAGUGCCUUAUCCACUCUCAAAAUGCUUAGUCAUGAACUCAUGAUUAACUUCUGAAACUGUCACUCACUGCUUUCUCUUGCAGGUCAUCCCUGCCUUGAACAUCAUAACACUGUUAAACUUCCUCCGGACAUAAUAAUAUUCAAGCUCAUGAAGGGAGUUUUUUGCUCAGCUUUCCAGGUUGGUGUAUCAACAUGGUGUCUUAACAUGACAGGGCCGAUUUUUGUAUCUAUGUUCAAGCCUUUGGGGAUCGUAGUUGCAGUUGCCACUGGUUUUGGAGUGUAGCAUACUCUUUACUCUCUGGGUUCAGAAAAUCUAGAAAGAAAGCACGG